rnacentral:rRNA from 1 species
GAUGAACGCUGGCGGCGUGCCUAAUACAUGCAAGUCGAGCGAACGGACGAGAAGCUUGCUUCUCUGAUGUUAGCGGCGGACGGGUGAGUAACACGUGGAUAACCUACCUAUAAGACUGGGAUAACUUCGGGAAACCGUAGCUAAUACCGGAUAAUAUUUUGAACCGCAUGGUUCAAAAGUGAAAGACGGUCUUGCUGUCACUUAUAGAUGGAUCCGCGCUGCAUUAGCUAGUUGGUAAGGUAACGGCUUACCAAGGCAACGAUGCAUAGCCGACCUGAGAGGGUGAUCGGCCACCCUGGAACUGAGACACGGUCCAGACUCCUACGGGAGGCAGCAGUAGGGAAUCUUCCGCAAUGGGCGAAAGCCUGACGGAGCAACGCCGCGUGAAUGAUGAAGGUCUUCGGAUCGUAAAACUCUGUUAUUAGGGAAGAACAUAUGUGUAAGUAACUGUGCACAUCUUGACGGUACCUAAUCAGAAAGCCACGGCUAACUACGUG